AUUGAACGCUGGCGGCAGGCCUAACACAUGCAAGUCGAACGGGUGGCGGACGGGUGAGUAAUGGCUGGGCAACUGCCCGAUGGAGGGGGAUAACUACUGGAAACGGUAGAUAAUCCCGCAUACCAUCGGGUGUGCCCAGAUGGGAGUAGCUAGUAGGUGGGGUAACGGCUCACCUAGGCGAAGAUCCCUAGCUGGUCGGAGAGGAUGACCCGCAACACUGGAACUGAGAAGCGGGCCAUACUCCUACGGGAGGCAGCGUGGGGGAAGAUUGCACAAUGGGCGCAAGUCUGAUGCAGCCAUGCCGCGUGUAUGAAGAAGGCCUUCGGGGUGUAAAGGACUUUCAGCGAGGAGGCGUUACUCGCAAAAGAAGCACCGGCUAACUCCGUGCCAGCAGCCGCGGUAAUAC
rnacentral:rRNA from 1 species